rnacentral:lncRNA from 1 species
CACGACUGGCCUCUGGAGGGCUUCUUCCAAGUAGCAGCUGGAGGAAGAAGAGAGCCCCUUCUUCGACUUGCAGCCCACCAAUUUCAAGCAAAUCUCCAACAUUUUCAUUUGUUAGAGUUUGGCCUCAGCUGUGCAGUCUCCUUUCUUCCCUUCAGCUCCUCUCGCUCAAAGUUACCCAACAGAAGUGCUCCCCGCACCACUUAAAAGGGCGAACCCGAGAGGCGCAGAGCCCCCGGGGCCCGGCUGCCCCCCGGCCCGGACAGGACUGCAGCCAUCCCCCCGCCCGGCCGCUGCAGCAGGAGGGCACGGCGCUGGGUGCUGAGCGCUGCCAACAAAGGGCCCCCUUCAGCCUCCGCGCCUCAGCUCCGCGCCGGCCUCCUG